rnacentral:rRNA from 1 species
AUUGAACGCUGGCGGCAGGCUUAACACAUGCAAGUCGAGCGGGGAAGGGUAGCUUGCUACCUGACCUAGCGGCGGACGGGUGAGUAAUGCUUAGGAAUCUGCCUCUUAGUGGGGGACAACAUUCCGAAAGGAAUGCUAAUACCGCAUACGCCCUACGGGGGAAAGCAGGGGAUCUUCGGACCGUGCGCUAAUAGAUGAGCCUAAGUCAGAUUAGCUAGUUGGUGGGGUAAAGGCCUACCAAGGCGACGAGGUGUAGCGGGUCUGAGAGGAUGAUCCGCCACACUGGGACUGAGACACGGCCCAGACUCCUACGGGAGGCAGCAGUGGGGAAUAUUAGACAAUGGGCGAAAGCCUGAUCCAGCCAUGCCGCGUGUGUGAAGAAGGCCUUUUGGUUGUAAAGCACUUUAAGCGAGGAGGAGGCUACCGAGAUUAAUACUCUUGGAUAGUGGACGUUACUCGCAGAAUAAGCACCGGCUAACUCUGUGCCAGCCGCCGCGGUAACAC